GACGAACGCUGGCGGCGUGCUUAACACAUGCAAGUCGAACGGAAAGGCCCUGCUUUUGUGGGGUGCUCGAGUGGCGAACGGGUGAGUAACACGUGAGUAACCUGCCCUUGACUUUGGGAUAACUUCAGGAAACUGGGGCUAAUACCGGAUAGGAGCUCCUGCUGCAUGGUGGGGGUUGGAAAGUUUCGGCGGUUGGGGAUGGACUCGCGGCUUAUCAGCUUGUUGGUGGGGUAGUGGCUUACCAAGGCUUUGACGGGUAGCCGGCCUGGGAGGGUGACCGGCCACAUUGGGACUGAGAUACGGCCCAGACUCCUACGGGAGGCUGCAGUGGGGAAUAUUGCACAAUGGGCGAAAGCCUGAUGCAGCAACGCCGCGUGCGGGAUGACGGCCUUCGGGUUGUAAACCGCUUUCGCCUGUGACGAAGCGUGAGUGACGGUAAUGGGUAAAGAAGCACCGGCUAACUACGUGCCAGCAGCCGCGGUGAUACGUAGGGUGCGAGCGUUGUCCGGAUUUAUUGGGCGUAAAGGGCUCGUAGGUGGUUGAUCGCGUCGGAAGUGUAAUCUUGGGGCUUAACCCUGAGCGUGCUUUCGAUACGGGUUGACUUGAGGAAGGUAGGGGAGAAUGGAAUUCCUGGUGGAGCGGUGGAAUGCGCAGAUAUCAGGAGGAACACCAGUGGCGAAGGCGGUUCUCUGGGCCUUUCCUGACGCUGAGGAGCGAAAGCGUGGGGAGCGAACAGGCUUAGAUACCCUGGUAGUCCACGCUGUAAACGGUGGGUACUAGGUGUGGGGUCCAUUCCACGGGUUCCGUGCCGUAGCUAACGCUUUAAGUACCCCGCCUGGGGAGUACGGCCGCAAGGCUAAAACUCAAAGGAAUUGACGGGGCCCCGCACAAGCGGCGGAGCAUGCGGAUUAAUUCGAUGCAACGCGUAGAACCUUACCUGGGUUUGACAUGGAUCGGGAGUGCUCAGAGAUGGGUGUGCCUCUUUUGGGGUCGGUUCACAGGUGGUGCAUGCCUGUCGUCAGCUCGUGUCGUGAGAUGUUGGGUUAAGUCCCGCAACGAGCGCAACCCUUGUUCACUGUUGCCAGCACGUUAUGGUGGGGACUCAGUGGAGACCGCCGGGGUCAACUCGGAGGAAGGUGGGGAUGACGUCAAGUCCUCAUGCCCCUUAUGUCUAGGGCUUCACGCAUGCUACAAUGGCUGGUACAGAGAGUGGCGAGCCUGUGAGGGUGAGCGAAUCUCGGAAAGCCGGUCUCAGUUCGGAUUGGGGUCUGCAACUCGACCUCAUGAAGUCGGAGUCGCUAGUAAUCGCAGAUCAGCAACGCUGCGGUGAAUACGUUCCCGGG
rnacentral:rRNA from 1 species